CAAAGGCCAAGAUCUGGUUAACUUUUCUCUUGACGCGGUAUUCACCGAUGAUGAUAGUGAUGCGGACGAUGAUGAUUCCGACAGUGAUGAAUAUCUUCCAGAGGACUCAAGUUUAGAUGUUCCUCAAAGUGAUAGUGAGAACUAUCUAGAAGACAACAGCAGGGCUAGUGCUUUGUCGUCGCAAAACCGAGAAAUAUAUUUAGAACUUGCGAAGAAAAGAAAAAAGUUGGACAGAUCGAAGC